GACGAACGCUGGCGGCGUGCUUAACACAUGCAAGUCGAACGGAAAGGCCCUGCUUUUGUGGGGUGCUCGAGUGGCGAACGGGUGAGUAACACGUGAGUAACCUGCCCUUGACUUUGUGAUAACUUCAGGAAACUGGGGCUAAUACCGGAUAGGAGCUCCUGCUGCAUGGUGGUGGUUGGAAAGUUUCGGCGGUUGGGGAUGGUCUCGCGGCUUAUCAGCUUGUUGGUGGGGUAGUGGCUUACCAAGGCUUUGACGGGUAGCCGGCCUGAGAGGGUGACCGGCCACAUUGGGACUGAGAUACGGCGCAGACUCCUACGGGAGGCAGCAGUGGGGAAUAUUGCACAAUGGGCGGAAGCCUGAUGCAGCAACGCCGCGUGCGGGAUGUCGGCCUUCGGGGUGUAAACCGCUUUCGCCUGUGACGAAGCGUGAGUGACGGUAAUGGGUAAAGAAGCACCGGCUAACUACGUG
rnacentral:rRNA from 1 species